rnacentral:lncRNA from 1 species
CAGGAGCUCCGCGGGUGCUGUCCCUGGGUCUGUCUCUGUGUCUGUCCCUGGGUCUGUCCCCUGGUGCUNUUUUUUUUUUCUUCUUUUUUUUUUUUUUCUUCAUCGAGUCUUUUCAUUCACUGGUUGCAAAAGAAAAGGGGGUUGGUCAACACCAAAAUGGCAAAGUUCAGCUUGGAGAAAAAAAAAACCAAAAAAAACCCUCCAGCUACCUACAAAGGGGCUCAGGGCUUUGUAAUGGCAGAAAGAAACAAAAAUGAAAAGAAAAUUGCAGUUGAGGCUAAAGUGUGAGAGUGUGUUUGUGUGUAUGUAUAUCUGUGUGUAUUUUUAAAGGUUUCUUUGAACUGCCUUUGUGCUGACUAGGCAAAGCUCCUUGCCAAUGCUAGUCACGGUUUAAGGAACUUUGAGUUAACCUCUUAUAUCGAAUGAAUCUUUUCAUUUGGAAACCAAUAAAUCUCAAUCUCUAGCCACCUUUUGUAGAACAGGCUGGGGCUUACCAAGGCGAGGCUGAAGCUUAUAAUAAAGAAGAGAUAAAGUUUGCCAAAGUUUGGGUUGGUUUUUUUUCCUUUUUUUUUUUUUUUUUUUUGUAACCUUCCCCUCCUUCUUCUUCCUCUUCUUCUCUUGUAAAUAAAAGUUUUGGAGAUGGCAGCAUUUGGAAGCAAUCCGGAGAAGGACUUGGAUCUAUGCAUUGUUUCACAAGUAGAUUUUGUUGCAAAACCAGCACUCAGAGAAGGGCUGUGGCCUCAGUGUCAUUUCUCCUUUCCACCCAGCUCAGCAGCAAUGUUUUCAGUCAAGAAUGGUGAUGGACACGGGGUAUCAACUACAGGGGCUCUCACGAACUUCCCAAUAACAAACCAGGUAAAGUUCUGUGGUCCAACCAACACUGCUCAAGGAAUUUGAGCACCAAGGCACACUGAUGAUCAGCUGCUGCAUGGUUCUACCAGGUAAAAUAACAGGAGUAUAAAUUAGGAAAAAACCCACCAGGCUGACUCGGAAUUUUGCCAUACAUUUCAAGAUGCUGCUAUCAGUGGUCACUGGUGACAAAGUGACUGGUGAGAAGAAGAAGAAGGUCAUAAGUAAGAAGCAGACGAAAGAAAAGUCGUGAAGAAAUAAAGAAUAUUUUCCAGAGCA